UACGUAGGGCGCAAGCGUUUAUCCGGAAUUAUUGGGCGUAAAGAGCUCGUAGGCGGUUUGUCGCGUCUGCUGUGAAAGACCGGGGCUCAACUCCGGUUCUGCAGUGGGUACGGGCAGACUAGAGUGAUGUAGGGGAGACUGGAAUUCCUGGUGUAGCGGUGAAAUGCGCAGAUAUCAGGAGGAACACCGAUGGCGAAGGCAGGUCUCUGGGCAUUAACUGACGCUGAGGCACGAAGGUCAGGGGAGCAAACGGG
rnacentral:rRNA from 1 species